rnacentral:rRNA from 1 species
UACAGAGGGUGCAAGCGUUGUUCGGAAUUAUUGGGCGUAAAGGGCGCGUAGGCGGUGCGGUAAGUCACCUGUGAAAUCUCCUGGCUCAACUGGGAGCUUGCAGGCGAAACUGCCGUGCUGGAGUGUGGGAGAGGUGCGUGGAAUUCCUGGUGUAGCGGUGAAAUGCGUAGAUAUCAGGAGGAACACCUGUGGCGAAAGCGGCGCACUGGACCACAACUGACGCUGAUGCACGAAAGCUAGGGGAGCAAACAGG